CUCAACAACCCAGGUUUCCUUGCAUCUGAGCUGCUGAAGCGCUUCAAAAACAACAUCUCUUGUUUCCUAAAGAAGAAGAUGCCUGGACAAGCAGCACAAGUCAUUCAGGAGGAAGAGGGUAAUUCAGUUGAGUUUCCUGAGCUACCCGGCUGCUGUGAUUCAACAACCACCAGGAAAUUUUGAUGAUGGUGCUCUCCUGAGCUCCUCCCUGUCCCAGGGAAGACAAAAUCAUUGAAACUGUGCAAAUAAAGUGUUAGUUCGCUGGAAUGAGGUCUCAUGGCUGUUUAUGCGGUGGUUGGCUGCUCAGGACAGGGCCAGGCUGAUGAGGCUGCUUGUGACCCUGAUGUAGGCUCUAUAAAUCUUGAGUCAGGCUACGGGAUAAGAUUCGUAGCCGUGCCGGUAAAGGCGAGCCUCUAUACCUGAUGCCCACUGAGGGUCCCACGGGUCAGGAAUGGUAAGGAAGAAUGUAGGCACUUCUCCUCGUCCAUAUGAUCUGACUAACUGAACUGUUGAUGCCGGUUGCUGCCACUUGGUGUAUGACAUGUCAAGCAGGGGGAGCUGCUUCCUGUUGGCCGUCUUGGCCCGCCCCCCACCACGUGACCUAUAAAAUGCCUCUGCUCUCCAGGAAUGCUGUCAUUCUAUAAUUUUGCCUGAAACCAACAUCCUUACUGCACCUAUCAUGGGCUCAUUUAUUUCACAUAUAAAGAAGGUGGCCAAGGAAGUGAUAGUGGCUAAAGUGGUCGAGUUUCUGACGGAUGUGAUAGAAAAAUGGUGUGUCGACCAAUUAAUGACAUAUGCCCCACAACUAGCAACGGAAACCGUUAUCGGCAUGCUGAGGCUUCUAAUCAAAAAGAUGCUCACCUGUGUACUCAACGAGGCACUUUGCUUCUUUACAAGCUGCUGAAAUGCUACAAAAACAUCUCAUGUUUUUCCUGAAGAAGAGGAUGCGUAGACUAGCAACAGGAGGAAGAAAGUAAUCCGGAAAAGUUUCCUGACCUACCCCUGCUGCUGCGAUUUAACAACCACCAGGAAAUUUUGAUGACACUGCUCUCUGGAGCUCCUCCCUUUCCUCAGGGAGCAAAAGCAAUUAAACAACAAAAAUAAAGUGUUAUUUGGCUGAAGUGAGGUCUCCUGGCUGUUUAUGUGGUGGCUUGCUGCUCAGUACAGGCACGUGUUGGGGCUCCAAGUCCCUGAAGGUUUCUGGCCUGAAAUCCACCUCUCCAGCCAUGCCGACUCUGCUCUAGAGACUCCACACUCCGCAAGGUUCCCAGGGCCCUGAGGGACAACUGAGUGGUCUGUGCACUUCAGGGCUCCACACUCGGCAAGGAACUAACUGUUUGGACAAAUGGAGGCAAGAUGGCGCAGUUCCGGGUUCUUCACCAUCAACUUUCCCGCGCCUGGGAAAGACACCGGUCGACUGCGCAGGCACAACCCGACCUCUGACGGAGAGAAACCGGAACCCGCCUAGCCACGCCUAUUGACCCGCCCCCGACCCGCCUAUGUCCCGCCCACUGCCCUCCCACUCCUGGGCCCAGGACAUAAAAGCCGCUCCCGGCGGGCGCGCGGAGCGACCUUCCUCCGCCCCUCCUCGUGCGCGGGACCCGGGAACCUCGUCCGAGAACGCCGGAGCGAACUUCCUCGGCCCCUCCUCCUGCGCGGGACCCAGGAACCUCGCCCAAGAACGCCGGAGCAAACUUCCUUGGCCCCUGCUCCUGUACGGACCUAGGA